CACACCGCCCGUCACACCACGAAAGCCCGCUGCAACAGAAGUCGUAGAUUCAACCCGCAAGGGAGAUAUACGCCAAAGUUGUGGUUGGUGAUUGGGGUG
rnacentral:rRNA from 1 species